rnacentral:rRNA from 1 species
GACGAACGCUGGCGGCGUGCUUAACACAUGCAAGUCGAACGGAAAGGCCCUGCGUUUGUGGGGUGCUCGAGUGGCGAACGGGUGAGUAACACGUGAGUAACCUGCCCUUGACUUUGGGAUAACUUCAGGAAACUGGGGCUAAUACCGGAUAGGAGCUCUUGCUGCAUGGUGGGGGUUGGAAAGUUUCGGCGGUUGGGGAUGGACUCGCGGCUUAUCAGCUUGAUGGUGGGGUAGGGGCUUACAAAGGCUUUGACGGGUAGCCGGCCUGAGAGGGUGACCGGCCACCUUGGGCCUGCGGUACGGCGCAGACUCCUACGGGCGGCAGUAGUGGGGAAUAUUGCACAAUGGGCGGAAGCCUGAUGCAGCAGCGCCGCGUGCGUGAUGACGGCCUUCGGGUUGUAAACCGCUUUCGCCUGUGCCGAAGCCUGCGUGACGGUAAUGGGUCAAGAAGCCCCGGCUAACUACGUG